UCCCUGAUGGUCCAAUGGUUAGGACUCCACACUUUCACUGCUGAGGAUGCAAGUUCAAUCCCUGGUCAGGGAA
rnacentral:tRNA from 1 species